CGAUGACAUCAAAGAUGAUGAUGAUGAUGACGAUAAUGAUAAUGAUAUAUUGCAAUUAUCAUCAUCAUCAUCAUCAUCAUCAUCAUCAUCA
rnacentral:pre_miRNA from 1 species